rnacentral:lncRNA from 1 species
UUUUAGCACUCACUAAAGUCCUCUACUAUAACUCAGGAGAAGAAGAUAGACUUUUAGCACUCACUAAAGUGCUCUACUAUAACUCAGGAGGAGAAGAUAGACUUUUAGCACUCACUAAAGUGCUCUACUAUAACUCUGGAGAAGAUAGACUUUUAGCACUCACUAAGUCCUCUACUAUAACUCAGGAGAAGAUAGACACUCACUAAAGUCCUCUACUAUAACUCAGGAGAAGAUAGACACUCACUAAAGUCCUCUACUAUAACUCAGGAGAAGAUAGACUUUUAGCACUCACUAAAGUCCUCUACUAUAACUCUGGAGAAAAUAGACUUUUAGUACUCACUAAAGUCCUCUACUAUAACUCUGGAGAAGAUAGACUUUUAGCACUCACUAAAGUCCUCUACUCCAAAGCCUCCAUUUUGGGUCUGUGUGUGUCUCUGUGUGGCUUCUAGAGGAAGUGGUGCUCCAGCAAACUAGUUUCCUGCAGCCCCCCCUGAACACACACAGCGAGAAGAGGGGGAAAGCAACACACACACAACACACACAAAAAAAAGGAAACCAGCCCAUAGAAGACAGAACAGUGGAUGGACCAGCGAGAGACAGACAGUGAAGAGGAAGGAGUAUAAGAUAAAGAGGGCUGGUCAACAGCGUCAGAACAUAUCAAAUCCAGGCAGACUCCUCCUCCUUGGCCUGCCAAUCUGAACGAAACGUCCCCACUACACACACACACACACACACACACACACUGCUCCGAGCAUCUUCAGAGAUGCCAACAGGGUCCCAGCCAGCUGCCAGCCCCUCUCCCAGCCUGCCCCUGUGUGCCCGGCCCUGAGCCCUGACCACAAGCUGACCCCGUGGCUGUAGGAGCCCCACCCCCCAGUGCAGCUGUCCUCCACACAGCCAGGCGGCGCCCUGACCCGGACAGGCAGCGCUACUAACAGGUAAUACAAUGUAGAUUUAGAUUACUGUAAACGUACCUUGACUACAUCUGAAAUGGAUCUCUGUUUAGUCCCCUAACUGUUAUAAACAUUACCUCACCUGGACUACAUCUGGAUCUCUGUUUAGUCCACUAACUGUCAACACUAAGGUCCUCUAUGCCUCAGUGGGUUAGUACUGUCAACACUAAGGUCCUCUAUGGCUCAGUAGGUUAGUACUGUCAACACUAAGGUCCUCUAUGGCUCAGUAGGUUAGUACUGUCAACACUAAGGUCCUCUAUGGCUCAGUAGGUUAGUACUGUCAACACUAAGGUCCUCUAUGGCUCAGUAAGUUAGUACUGGCAACACUAAGGUCCUCUAUCAGUAGGUUAGUACUGUCAACACUAAGGUCCUCUAUGGCUCAGGAUGGUGGUCUGUUUGAAACAUGUUGGUAUUACAGACUCGGUCAGCGAGUGGUUUGAAAAUGUCAGUGAAGACCAGUUUGCCAGUUUGUCCGCGCAAACUCUGAGUCCACGUUCCUGGUAAUCCGUCUGGCCCUGCGUCCUUGGGAAUGUUGACCUGUUUAAAAGUGUUGCUCACGUCGGCUACAGAGAGCGUGAUCACACAGUCAUCCGGAACAGCUUGUGCUCUCAUGCAUGCUUCAGUGUUGCUUGCCUCGAGGCGAACAUCAAAGGCAUUUAGCUCGUCUGGUAGGAUCGAUUCACUGGGCAGCUCGCGGCCGGGUCUCCCUUCGUCGUCCGUAAUAAUUUGCAAGCCCCCUGCCUCAUCCGACGAGCGUCAGAGACGAUUUCUUAUAAGCGUCCGGAUUAGUGUCGCGCUCCUUGAAAGCGGCAGCUCCUAGCCUUUAGCUCGACAGUAGUAGUGUCUGGGGGUGGUGGUA